UCCUACGGGAGGCAGCAGUCGGGAAUAUUGCGCAAUGGAGGAAACUCUGACGCAGUGACGCCGCGUAUAGGAAGAAGGUUUUCGGAUUGUAAACUAUUGUCGUGAGGGAAGAAAUUGACAGUACCUCAGGAGGAAGCUCCGGCUAACUAUGUGCCAGCAGCCGCGGUAAUACAUAGGGAGCAAGCGUUAUCCGGAUUUAUUGGGUGUAAAGAGUACGUAGGUGGCAACCUAAGCGCAGGGUUUAAGGCAAUGGCUCAACCAUUGUUCGCCCUGCGAACUGGGAUGCUUGAGUGCAGGAGAGGAAA
rnacentral:rRNA from 1 species